rnacentral:rRNA from 1 species
UACCCUUGACAUGGAUGGAAUCCCGAAGAGAUUUGGGAGUGCUCGAAAGAGAACCAUCACACAGGUGCUGCAUGGCUGUCGUCAGCUCGUGUCGUGAGAUGUUGGGUUAAGUCCCGCAACGAGCGCAACCCUUGUCAUUAGUUGCUACGAAAGGGCACUCUAAUGAGACUGCCGGUGACAAACCGGAGGAAGGUGGGGAUGACGUCAAGUCCUCAUGGCCCUUAUGGGUAGGGCUUCACACGUCAUACAAUGGUACAUACAGAGGGCCGCCAACCCGCGAGGGGGAGCUAAUCCCAGAAAGUGUAUCGUAGUCCGGAUUGGAGUCUGCAACUCGACUCCAUGAAGUUGGAAUCGCUAGUAAUCGCGGAUCAGCAUGUCGCGGUGAAUACGUUCCCGGGUCUU